rnacentral:rRNA from 1 species
UGGGGAAUAUUGCACAAUGGGCGCAAGCCUGAUGCAGCCAUGCCGCGUGUGUGAAGAAGGCCUUCGGGUUGUAAAGCACUUUCAGCGAGGAGGAAGGUGGUGAACUUAAUACGUUCAUCAAUUGACGUUACUCGCAGAAGAAGCACCGGCUAACUCCGUGCCAGCAGCCGCGGUAAUACGGAGGGUGCAAGCGUUAAUCGGAAUUACUGGGCGUAAAGCGCACGCAGGCGGUUUGUUAAGUCAGAUGUGAAAUCCCCGGGCUCAACCUGGGAACUGCAUUUGAAACUGGCAAGCUAGAGUCUCGUAGAGGGGGGUAGAAUUCCAGGUGUAGCGGUGAAAUGCGUAGAGAUCUGGAGGAAUACCGGUGGCGAAGGCGGCCCCCUGGACGAAGACUGACGCUCAGGUGCGAAAGGCGUGGGGGAGCAAACAGGAUUAGAUACCCUGGUAGUCACGCUGUAAACGAUGUCGAUUUUGGAGGUUGUGCCCUUGAGGCGUGGCUUCCGGAGCUAACGCGUUAAAUCGACCG